CGUACACUCCUGCGGGAGGCAGCAGUGGGGAAUAUUGGACAAUGGGCGCAAGCCUGAUCCAGCCAUGCCGCGUGAGUGAUGAAGGCCCUAGGGUUGUAAAGCUCUUUCACCGGUGAAGAUAAUGACGGUAACCGGAGAAGAAGCCCCGGCUAACUUCGUGCCAGCAGCCGCGGUAAUACGAAGGGGGCUAGCGUUGUUCGGAUUUACUGGGCGUAAAGCGCACGUAGGCGGACUAUUAAGUCAGGGGUGAAAUCCCGGGGCUCAACCCCGGAACUGCCUUUGAUACUGGUAGUCUUGAGUUCGAGAGAGGUGAGUGGAAUUCCGAGUGUAGAGGUGAAAUUCGUAGAUAUUCGGAGGAACACCAGUGGCGAAGGCGGCUCACUGGCUCGAUACUGACGCUGAGGUGCGAAAGCGUGGGGAGCAAACAGGAUUAGAAACCCUUGUAGUCCCAU
rnacentral:rRNA from 1 species